GGGGAAUUAGCUCGGUUGGUAGAGCGCACGCUUUGCAUGCGAGAGGUACCGGGAUCGAUACCCGUAUUCUCCA
rfam:Octopus bimaculoides Scaffold320160_contig_1, whole genome shotgun sequence.